rnacentral:lncRNA from 1 species
UUUUUAGGUUAUUUAUCCAUCCCAAAAACAAACAUUUUUCUUGGAUCCCCUGGGAGGGCCGGAUAUGAAAGUCCAGAAGUGCCUGGACACCACAAGUUUGCAGAAAAAUUACUGAAGGACCAGCCAAUCACCUUUUGUAAUACAGAAAAUGAAAUAAACAUCAUGAGGAAAAAGAUGUCAGUGACUCUUAUGCAAGAAUCAGACAGUCCCUUCGGACUUGUCUCUGAGGCACCAAUGCUUUGAGAUUAAUGUAUUUUGUACAAAGCAGAGGAAAGCUUGCUUUGAGGAAAAUUUGUUUGUAGCUUGUUUUCUACAUC